GGGGAAUAUUGGACAAUGGGGGCAACCCUGAUCCAGCAAUGCCGCGUGAGUGAUGAAGGCCUUCGGGUUGUAAAGCUCUUUUGUCGGGGACGAUGAUGACGGUACCCGACGAAUAAGCUCCGGCUAACUUCGUGCCAGCAGCCGCGGUAAUACGAAGGGAGCUAGCGUUGUUCGGAAUGACUGGGCGUAAAGGGCGCGUAGGCGGUUUUAUAAGUUUGAUGUGAAAGCCCUGGGCUUAACCUAGGAAUAGCAUUGGAUACUGUAAGACUAGAGUCCGAGAGGGGGAAAUGGAAUUGCGAGUGUAGAGGUGAAAUUCGUAGAUAUUCGCAAGAACACCAGUGGCGAAGGCGAUUUCCUGGCUCGGUACUGACGCUAAGGCGCGAAAGCGUGGGGAGCAAAC
rnacentral:rRNA from 1 species